GAGUUUGAUCCUGGCUCAGAUUGAACGCUGGCGGCAGGCCUAACACAUGCAAGUCGAGCGGUAGAGAGAAGCUUGCUUCUCUUGAGAGCGGCGGACGGGUGAGUAAUGCCUAGGAAUCUGCCUGGUAGUGGGGGAUAACGCUCGGAAACGGACGCUAAUACCGCAUACGUCCUACGGGAGAAAGCAGGGGACCUUCGGGCCUUGCGCUAUCAGAUGAGCCUAGGUCGGAUUAGCUAGUUGGUGAGGUAAUGGCUCACCAAGGCGACGAUCCGUAACUGGUCUGAGAGGAUGAUCAGUCACACUGGAACUGAGACACGGUCCAGACUCCUACGGGAGGCAGCAGUGGGGAAUAUUGGACAAUGGGCGAAAGCCUGAUCCAGCCAUGCCGCGUGUGUGAAGAAGGUCUUCGGAUUGUAAAGCACUUUAAGUUGGGAGGAAGGGCAGUAAAUUAAUACUUUGCUGUUUUGACGUUACUG
rnacentral:rRNA from 1 species